AAAUCCAUUAAAGUCUCCCCUCGUCCGAACGAAAUCAAUUCGGAGCGGGGAAACUUUCACAUGAACAUCACGGAAUCCAGAUGAACUUCUUCUUUUUUUUUUUUAGUUCAUCCAAAGCUUCACGAGGAGAACUUCUUCCCCCCCUGUUCAACAACUUGGCACGGGAUUGACGUCCCUCAGCCAAACGCCUCAGAUGACGCCGCAGCAAAGGCUACAACUUUUAAAACUUUUAAUUAAGGUGCCGAUAAAAAUCCGUACGAGACCAACAAAUAACUUCUCUUCAGGCGCAUUUUCACUUCAGCUGAAACGACCUUCAUGUUAAGCGUUUCCUCACUUUCGCAGCAAAUACCAUCAUCGUGCGUAAAAAAGAAAACUGGCUAUCGAUGGGAAAAGACAAGUCUCUGUGCGUAAAAGUUGGCUAAACUUGACUCCCAGGUCGCUUCUGUUGGCUCUCUUCCUCCUUCGCCUCUCCCUCUCUGACAGGAUGUGUGCAGCAGCUCAGAGUCGGAGGAGAGGAGCUGAGGCAGCUGGAGCAUCUCCCUCUGCACCCCUCCACCCCUCUGCUUUUCCUCCAUUCAACCCAAACAACGCCUCCGUUCAUCCAGCCACACUAUGCAGAUUGUUUCAGAGGACAAGCAAGAAAGAGAAACAGAUAGAGGCUGCAGGGGACAAUGAAACAGCUGGCUAGGCUAAAGCAGUUAAUUUUGGUAUUCUAUAUUUCUUAUCUCAUGUAUCUUGCUCUGUAAGUGCAUGUGUGUGGAAUCGUGUGUGUGUGUGUGUGUGUGUGUGUGUGUGUGUGUGUGCAUGAGAGCGUGUAGCCCAAUUGUUCUUAUCUUAUAGUUGUGUGGAUAUAAACCGAGUCAACAAAGUCACAUUCCUGUUUUGGACAAGAAGCAGGUCCCCACAAUGUUUAAUAUUAAAUUCACAGAGGUGGAGUAAAGGUAGAGGUAAAGGUUAUGCAUUGUGAAAGAAGUGGCUGCAAAUUGGUGGAUACAUAUUUUGAGCGUCACAACCUCCACUAUCAGAAUCUGAGCCAUGCGGUCUGAUAAAACUUGGAAAGUCUUCAAGAGCCAAACAAAUAAAUCAUUUUAUCCACAUUUAAGUUUGUAGCUGUACAGUUGUACAGCUCAGCUGGCAGACGUUUCUGUUUGGAUGCUCUACACACAAUAUAGCAGCUAAAUUGUUGCGUAUUUGUGUAAUUCCAAAAAAUUUGCAGCUUAAACUUUCAAUAGAUACCAUUCUGAAGAACAUAAGGAUUGCACGGUGUAAUGGCUGUCAAAAAAUGACACUAUCCAUGUAGAUUGUUCCCCAUAAAUCUUGCUUUUGCUAUGUUAUUUUGUGUGUCACCAGGCGGGGUUCUUCCUGGAGAAACGUUACACCACAGGGAAACGCCAGGAGGGAGGAAAGUUGAAAAGUUUCCUGUUACCGCUUUAAACGCUUAAAUGUUUUAAACAGCAUGACGAAUUGUGUCCCAAUAUGUCAACAUUUCUAAACUAAAUGGAGCUUAGCCUCCACCGCAUUAUUGUAAUGCACAGCAGUAUAGGACCAUUCACUGACCAUGGGAUCUAUGUUCCAAUCACCAUUCAGUGUUUAGAGCAAAACUGAUCGAUUGUCUUGACUUUUUGUGUGAAGUUGAAAGACAUUUUUAAAAACACACAAACAUCGACAUCAUUUGCGUUACAGAUCUUGUGUUUUGACUACAUUUAGAUGCAUGAUAACAGGCAGAGUUUGGUCGCCUUAAGAUGCAAUAUUUUUACAGGUUAAAAAAGCAAAACUUGAUGCAUUAACAUGCCUCUCCUGGUUGUGGCCAAAGAGGGACCUUGAAUCAAGACACAUUUACAGUACAUAUUCAUGAAGAGGGGUUGUGAGGAGAAUCCAUGAUGUCAAACAACAGUGCAGCAAGUCAUGUAUAAAUUCCUGAUGUGGAUUCAUACAACUUGUUACAGGCAAACACCAGAAAGGAAAUUAUGUUUAUGAAACACAAGCCAUAUUACAUAUAAUAUAAUAUAAUAUAAUAUAAUAUAAUAUAAUAUAAUAUAAUAUAAUAUAAUAUAAUAUAAUAUAAUAUAAUAUAAUAUAUAAAACCUAAAUGACUGGGUCAGACUCAAUAGCUUUUAAACGUUCAUCCAGGCAAUGUGCAUUGAAUGUUGUCUUUCAGUGUGUGAUUCUCUCCUCUAUCAGCCGGCGACAAAUUUCACCCUUUCAUAUCGGUCGCUGAAAUGAAAUUUGCAUGUAUCCCUGAGAAAGUGAAGGAAGGAGGUGAGCCACCGCGUUCACUCAUCAAGAUUUCAUGGCCAUUGCCUGCUACUAACUCAGUUGUUUUCACUGAGAUGAGGGUAUUUCAAAAUCCAUCCAUAACAUAGAACCACGCUCCGCCUGUCUUAAUUUUGCAGCUUAAUGUGUAACAGCUCUUUAAACCCCAGAAAACUGGAGAUGAUGGAAACCACGAAAAAAAACCCUAAUUUUCUUAUCCUCCUCACACUUGCUUAGCACUCCUCUUUAUUCAUUGCAUGUGAAUGUGCAUAGUGACACCUAGUGUUAGGACUAUUAACAAUACAAGAUGACACAUAUUCAAAAUUGAUUGAAAUUGAUAGAGAAAAUGAAUUGGAUAAACAGUUCAUCAUCAUGAUUAUGUUAACUUCAGGCAUUUAGGUGAGCGCAGCCUAAUAGUUUUUUGUUCAAAGUUAGUUAGUGGCAUGUUCACCAAUGUUCCCUCUAGAUGGCAGUAUUAGAGCAAAGAAGGGAAACCUGUUGAGCAGAUUAGUGCACAAGGAAGAAAUGUAGUGAUCUACCAGCCAUUGACAGGCUGUUGAAUUAUUUUCAUGUUUAAUGGGAGGAACUACACCUGAAAACGAAUUAAGGCCUGAAUGGCCUCUUAAAGAUUAUGGACUGAUCAAUUGUCAGACUUUGGACUAUUUGCUUCCAUAACAUGUCUUCUUUUAGAAUAAUGGAAAGGAAAUAUACACACUUAAAUCUUAAAUUAAUUCAUGCAAAUUGGCAGAAUUAGCCCCAUUUUUAAUAUCUAAACAUAAAAUAUCAUAUGUAUACAAAAUAAUAAAAACAAUCAGCUGGCAAGGCUUCAGAUUGAUAUGUAUAAGAUGCAAUUUUUACUCUAUUCACCAUUCUUUGUCAAAGAAUAUAUGGGAUUUUUCAGCAUACCUUUAAAUACCAUUUCUCAAAAUGAUUUGCUUUCUCAUCCUCUAAGUCGGAAAUCUUCACUUCAUUGGCACUUACCUACUCCAGACUUUCCUAUUAAUUUUUUUUAUCUACAAUCUGAAGUUUAUAUAACAUGAUAUAUACAGCAGUUUAAUUCCUAAAAUCAUGGCAAAAACACACAUUUGAUUAAAUGGCUGUUGACAGUUUUUCCUGAUUUACUGAGUUAUGAAAAAGAAAUUCCCAAUAAAAACAUUUGAACCUGGCUUCAUCCAGUGUUCAGAUUUAUAUUGUGUAAAUAUACAGUAUUCUCAAUUAGCUAAUGCCUCAUGUGCAUACUUUAACAUAACAUUUUAGAAAUCUUUUAAUACAAAAUAUAUCUGUUAGUAAUAAACUUUGGGAAGUUUCGUGGUGACAUGUGUUUGUUCCCUGGUGACAUGUAAACAACACCACAUGUGUUUAGAAAGGCUUUUAAAGCCCACAUGAGAGCCGUAGAGUUUAGUACCAAUCAAUUAUUCACGCAUCAAAUACUCAUCUAUUCACUUCUCCCAGUAUUUGCUCGCUGGUUGUAGUUCAUCCCCCGGCCAGCAGGCAGAGACGUCCUCUCUAUCGAUCAUGAGUGA
rnacentral:lncRNA from 1 species